UACGUAGGGUGCAAGCGUUAAUCGGAAUUACUGGGCGUAAAGCGUGCGCAGGCGGUUCCCUAAGACAGAUGUGAAAUCCCCGGGCUUAACCUGGGAACUGCAUUUGUGACUGGCGGGCUAGAGUAUGGCAGAGGGGGGUAGAAUUCCACGUGUAGCAGUGAAAUGCGUAGAGAUGUGGAGGAAUACCGAUGGCGAAGGCAGCCCCCUGGGCCAAUACUGACGCUCAUGCACGAAAGCGUGGGGAGCAAACAGG
rnacentral:rRNA from 1 species